AAUUGAAGCAGCUCAAAUAAAACUUCAUUUCUGAUAUGAAUAAACAGUUUCAACUAUAUCAUAUGCUUCCAACAGGGUGGCUAAGCUUGUAAAGCUAAUAAGAUGUUCACUAGUUUACACAAUCCCUCUUCCAAUGUUUUGACCUUCUACUGUUCUGAAAUAUUGUGCGAGAGUAUCCCGAACAAUUGAGGCAUCUGAUUCAUGCUGUCUAUGUACAGCUUCAUUUGGCAGGGGGAUGAUUUCAGGUUGGUCAAUAUUGUUG